UCCCUGGUGGCUCAGAUGGUAAAGUGUCUGCCUACAAUGCAGAAGACCCCAGUUCAAUCCCUGGGUCAGGAA
rnacentral:tRNA from 1 species